rnacentral:rRNA from 1 species
ACGCUGGCGGCGUGCCUAACACAUGCAAGUCGAGCGAGGAGAUCCUUCGGGAUGAUCCUAGCGGCGGACGGGUGAGUAACACGUGGGCAACCUGCCUCAUAGAGAGGAAUAGCCUUCCGAAAGGGAGAUUAAUACCUCAUAACAUUGCAGUUUCGCAUGAAACAGCAAUUAAAGGAGCAAUCCGCUAUGAGAUGGGGCCCGCGGCGCAUUAGCUAGUUGGUGAGGUAACGGCUCACCAAGGCGACGAUGCGUAGCCGACCUGAGAGGGUGAUCGGCCACAUUGGGACUGAGACACGGCCCAGACUCCUACGGGAGGCAGCAGUGGGGAAUAUUGCACAAUGGGGGAAACCCUGAUGCAAGCAACGCCGCGUGAGUGAUGACGGCCUUCGGGUUGUAAAGCUCUGUCUUCAGGGACGAUAAUGACGGUACCUGAGGAGGAAGCCACGGCUAACUACGUGCCAGCAGCCGC